CUAAGAAUAUUCCGCAAUGGACGAAAGUCUGACGGAGCGACGCCGCGUGGAUGAAGAAGGCCGAAAGGUUGUAAAAUCCUUUUGCUGAGGAAGAAUAAGUGUGGGAGGGAAUGCCCGCAUGAUGACAUGAAUCGGCGAAUAAGCCCCGGCCAACUACGUGCCAGCAGCCGCGGUAACACGUAGGGGGCGAGCGUUAUACGGAUUUAUUGGGCGUAAAGCGUGUGUAGGCGGUUUAUUAAGUAUAAGAUUAAAGCCUGGGGCUUAACUCCAGUUCGUCUUAUAAACUGGUAGACUUGAGUAUGGUAGAGGCAAAUGGAAUUUCUAGUGUAGCGGUAAAAUGCGUAGAUAUUAGAAGGAACACCGGUGGCGAAGGCGAUUUGCUGGGCCAUUACUGACGCUGAGACACGAAAGCGUGGAGAGCAAAUA
rnacentral:rRNA from 1 species